rnacentral:rRNA from 1 species
UACGUAGGUGGCAAGCGUUGUCCGGAAUUAUUGGGCGUAAAGAGCUCGUAGGCGGUGUGUCACGUCGGCCGUGAAAAACCUGGGGCUUAACUCUGGGCGUGCGGUCGAUACGGGCAUCACUAGAGUUCGGCAGGGGAGACUGGAAUUCCUGGUGUAGCGGUGGAAUGCGCAGAUAUCAGGAGGAACACCAAUGGCGAAGGCAGAUCUCUGGGCCGUAACUGACGCUGAGGAGCGAAAGCAUGGGGAGCGAACAGG